rnacentral:rRNA from 1 species
AUACCGGACUCUAUGAGGCUCGGUAAUUGAAAUGAGUACAGUUUAAAACCCUUAACGAGGAUCUAUUGGAGGGCAAGUCUGGUGCCAGCAGCCGCGGUAAUUCCAGCUCCAAUAGCGUAUAUUAAAGUUGUUGCAGUUAAAAAGCUCGUAGUUGGAUCUCGGGUACUAGCAUGUGGUACGCUUAAUUGCUGUUACUGCUUGUCUAGUCCUAAUCAAUCGGUUGGCCGUUUAUGCCCUUUACUGGGUGUUUUCGGUAGCCGGUACGUUUACUUUGAGAAAAUUAGAGUGCUUAAAGCAGGCUUUACGCCUGAAUAAUGUUGCAUGGAAUAAUAGAAUAGGACCUCGGUUCUAUUUUGUUGGUUUUGUAGAGCAUUGAGGUAAUGAUUAAUAGGGACAGACGGGGGCAUUCGUAUUGCGGUGUUAGAGGUGAAAUUCUUGGAUCGCCGCAAGACGAACAACUGCGAAAGCAUUUGCCAAGAAUGUUUUCAUUAAUCAAGAACGAAAGUUGGAGGUUCGAAGACGAUUAGAUACCGUCCUAGUUCCAACCAUAAACGAUGCCAACUAGCGAUUAGCUGCUGUUAAUUAAACGACACAGCUAGCAGCUUCCGGGAAACCAAAGUUUUUGGGUUCCGGGGGAAGUAUGGUUGCAAAGCUGAAACUUAAAGGAAUUGACGGAAGGGCACCACCAGGAGUGGAGCCUGCGGCUUAAUUUGACCCAACAUGGGAAAUCUCACCCGGCCCGGACACUGUAAGGAUUGACAGAUUGAGAGCUCUUUCUUGAUUCGGUGGGUGGUGGUGCAUGGCCGUUCUUAGUUGGUGGAGCGAUUUGUCUGGUUAAUUCCGAUAACGAACGAGACUCUAGCCUGCUAAAUAGUACGCCGAUCUUUAGUCGGCGCGUACUUCUUAGAGGGACAAGUGGCGGAUAGCCACACGAAAUUGAGCAAUAACAGGUUUGUGAUGCCCUUAGAUGUUCGGGGCCGCACGCGCGCUACACUGAAGGGAUAAGCGUGUUCUUCCUGCUCCGAAAGGAGUGGGUAACCCGCUGAAACCCCUUCGUGAUUGGGAUCGGGGCUUGCAAUUAUUCUCCGUGAACGAGGAAUUCCUAGUAAGCGCGAGUCAUAAGCUCGCGUUGAUUACGUCCCUGCCCUUUGUACACACCGCCCGUCGCUACUACCGAUUGAAUGGUUUUAGUGAGAUCCUCGGAUUGGUCCGGAAGUGGCCGCAAGGUUGCCUCUAGGUUCUGAGAAGACGAUCAAACUUGA